GCGGGGGUGGGCAAUUUUGGUAAAGCCGCUCGGUUCAGACCCGAGAGAUUCUGCGGGUUCGAUCCCCGCCCCCCGCA
rnacentral:tRNA from 1 species